UGCAGGUGGAGGAGGCCAGGAGGUGGGAAGCAGUGCUGGGCUCCUGGGGGGGAAACUGAGCCGCCUCUCAAUCACAGGAAGAGUGUGCCUGUCAUGGGCUCCCCACCCAUAUCCCCAAAUGUCAUGUUCCUUUCUACGUCUGUACCUUUCAUCUCUUCCUCCAUUUGAAAUCCUCAUUCUUUCUUCUCUCCACCUGCCCGAAAGUGAUCCAUUUGAGGACUUGAUCUAGUCCACCUCUCCUAAGGAGCUGUCAUUAAUUAUUUUCUCAAUAACAUUCCCAAUUUUUUUAGGUUCUGUAAUACAACAUACACUAAAUACCUUGGCAGAAUCUAAUUACAUCUUGCAAACCGUUUCAUGUAUGUGGAGGAGCUUGGAACCUUAUAAUUCUUUGUAUUUUCUUCAAUACCUACCACUAAUAUCUUGCACAUAUAGGUCAAUGGAUGUCCAGUAAAGUUCAAUAAAGAAAAAGCACCCUUUAUGUGCUAAGAAUUUUUAUGAGCUCUGUUAUUCCUUUAGAUCAGCUGCUUGAACCAUUUGUCUUUCUCCACAGGUCAACAGUGUUGCCCAGCACAAAUGAAUUUUACACCUUCUCAAACUCAAUAGAGCAAAGAUGGAACUUCAUUCCCCCUGCAAGCCUUACUGCCCCAGAGAAAAGCAAAAACAACGGAGACUGAGAUGUCAAAAUUAUCAAGAAGCUGAAGCUCCCCAACUCCCGCUUCCUGGCGCCGAAUCCACCAUUCAUCACAGGGACAGACAAACAGAGGACACCUGGAGCUCCCCUAACUCAGCUAAACACAGGCUGAUGGGAGGACGCCGAACUGCAAAGCCGCAGCUCCCCUCCCCCACCUAAAACCUUGUAAACUGUAAUUGUUAAUUGGCAGCAGUUGCCAUCCACUCCCCAAGGCCAAAUUUCGGGUGGUGAGAGAAGAUUGGUCGAUGGAGCCCUAGAUCUCCUGCUGUGUAGAUAGAGAUGACAGCCGGCUUGGCGCCAGAAGACUGGGAUCCCUCUUCCAACAAAUAAUCAGUCACCAAGGAUACAUUCUUUCCCAAAGACUUUCCUUUAAAAGCCUCAACUCCUAAUGCCUUAGGAGGACUGUGGAUUUUGGGGCAUGAGCCCACUACAGCCUCAUUUUGCUGGCAAAAUUAAACCACUUUUCUUUUCCUCGGUCCCUGGUCAUUGUGUUCAUUGAUUCGGCUAUGGUGACAGGGUCCCGGGUUUUUCUGGCUACAUUUCCUUAAUUUGUUCCUAAAUAAAGAUGUUUCUGAAACUAAUAAUAAAUUGUACCAACUGGUCAUUGUAUAAAAAUCACUACUAAUAAUAAAUUGUACUAACUGG